rnacentral:lncRNA from 1 species
CCCCAUUCUAGCAAUCUCUGAUGAGAUGUUAAGAUUUAGAAAGUCAUCAUGCAGUCUGGAGUUGUCUCUUUUGAAAUGAGAGUUGUAUAAGAAUGAAGAAUUCUAUUACUCUUCUGUUUUCACGUCCAAGAAAAAAGGAACUCAACUAAGAAUGCCCCUGUAGGGCCUACAUCACUGUCUUCUGUCUACAGACCUCCUCCUUUUGAGGACAUUUUCUCUCAACUCAUUUUGCUGGGAGCUCCUAAAUAUCUCUCAAGUUGUUAUUAUGAAACUGCUAUCAAGUUAAAGUGGACAGAUAAAGAGGAUGGGGACUUGACCUGUGAUUUCAUUGAUAUAGAGAAAUCUCCUCACUGUUGCAGGUCAGCACCCCCACACUGAACUUAAAGUCUAAGAGUUACCUGAGGCGCAGAGAACUUAAGUGACUUGCCCAGGAUCACACAGUCAGUAUGUGUUAGAGGAAGGACUUGAACCCAGGUUUCCUUGUCCCUGAAACCAGUUCUCUGCUUUCUAUAGUUCAUAGUUACCCCCUCAGCACCACCAAGUCUCACUUUCUAAGCCACCACCUAUUCUGCGCUUACAGAAACAUAUCUGGGUUCUUUAAGGUCAGCAAUGACUCCUGUAAUAUCGAUCAAUGAGCAAACAUUUAUUAGGCACCUACUAUGAGCUAGGCACUGUGCUAAGCACAAAGGAUACAGAAAGUGGCAAAAGACAGUCCCUGCCUUCAAGGGACUUACAAGCUAAGAGGAGCA